GGCAACUUGCUGCCUCUCCUCUCCCUACACCCUCACACUCCCUCUGAUCCCCGCACAGCCUUGCACCCCCUCUUGACCCAUACAACCUUGUGUCCCCCCACCCACCUGCCCAGUGGUUCCCAGAAGUGCGGCACCACUGCCCCAGCACACCCAUCAUCCUGGUGGGCACCAAGCUGGACCUGCGGGAUGACAAGGACACCAUCGAGAAACUGAAGGAGAAGAAGCUGGCUCCCAUCACCUACCCGCAGGGCCUGGCACUGGCCAAGGAGAUUGACUCGGUGAAAUACCUAGAGUGCUCAGCCCUCACCCAGAGAGGCCUGAAAACCGUGUUCGACGAGGCCAUCCGGGCCGUGCUGUGCCCUCAGCCCACGCGGCAGCAGAAGCGCACCUGCAGCCUCCUCUAGGGGUUGCACCCCAGCGCUCCCACCUAGAUGGGUCUGAUCCUCCAGGAUCCCCACCCAAAGCCUGAUGGCACCCCGG
rnacentral:sRNA from 1 species